GGGGUUGGAAGCCAACAAAUCUUGGAAUUAAGAUCUUAAAUACAUUGGUCUUAUGGAAUUUGGCGGGAACUAACAAUUAAUUCGAUAUAGGGAGGUUUUCGACUCAGGGAAGGUGGACUUAUCAAGGUCUGACUAUAUAAGCAGACACCUUUGUAAACAGUGCGUGGUACUGUAAGCUCAGAAAGGAGCAACAACAAGUUGAUGAUGAAGACCUCGGUUCUUCUUCUGACUUGUGUCUUUCUUGUGCUGCUUUGUGUGUGUUUGCUGCCUGCCUACCAGUCGCCUCGAGUCUACGGGUCAGACAGACAAUGUAUCGGGUUGAAAGGAAGAUGCCAGUUUGACCACUUACGUUGCUAUGGCAGGCAUGUUUCUGGUUAUUGCGAUGGUCCUCCCAACAGAAGGUGCUGUCUCCCACGUGUCUGGUAAAAGAUCCGCAAUGAACUGAUUGAGAGAAGAGAGUCCAGUCCACCCGAACUGUGUACUAAGCACCUGGGGUGUGAAUCGGCAGUUCCGCGAUAGUGUCGCUCUUCCCGUCUUGUGUGUGUUUGCCAGAAGUUGGUAAUGUUAUCGAAAUGUGGGAAAAUCUGCAUCUUUAGACAACCCUAGAACUCUAUCAGCUGACACAGACGUAAAUAUGUCUUGAAAACAUUCUUUCGAAAAAAAAAAAUGCUGGCACUAAAGAGUUUGAUGGAAUGUAAAUAUACUCAACCACGAACUGGUAUCUCCUAUAUACGUCCAUGCUCUGACAACACGAUUCUCAUUCAUAUCUAUGCUGAACCGCGUGCAAUGUCCAUAUAAUGUUCACGGAGUUUGUACAGAUAUAAUUUAAGUCAAAAAAGUACAAAUCAACUAACAUAUUUCAAUACUCUAAAUACGUGACUGAAUAAACAAGUAGAACAUCACAUCCUGGUCGCUUGUUGGUUUUAUGGUAUUUUGUUGUCACGCUCAAGUUUUGUAUGUAUUCUAUUCAUCUCAUUGAUUUCUGUCAGUUAAAUGCCUUUUAUAUUUUUGAUUUGAUUGUUAACUUUUCUUCCUGUACCAGCUUCCAAAUUAAAACCAUGAAAAAUUCAA